rnacentral:rRNA from 1 species
CAGGGAAUAUUCCGCAAUGGGCGCAAGCCUGACGGAGCAACGCCGCGUGCAGGAAGACGACUUUCGGGUUGUAAACUGCUUUUGUAUGGGAAGAUUAUGACGGUACCAUGCGAAUAAGGACCGGCUAACUACGUGCCAGCAGCCGCGGUAAUACGUAGGGUCCAAGCGUUAUCCGGAAUUACUGGGCGUAAAGAGUCUGUAGGCGGUUACUCGCGUGAGAUGCGAAAUCUGGUGGCUCAACCAUCUAGACUGUAUCUCAUACGGAGUGACUAGAGGACGGCAGAGGCAAGUGGAACUAGCGGUGUAGGGGUGAAAUCCGUAGAUAUCGCUAAGAACACCAAUGGCGAAGGCAGCUUGCUGGGCCGUCCCUGACGCUGAGAGACGAAAGCGUGGGGAGCGAACAG